rnacentral:rRNA from 1 species
AGUGAACGCUGGCGGCAGGCCUAACACAUGCAAGUCGAACGGCAGCGGACCUUCGGGUGCCGGCGAGUGGCGAACGGGUGAGUAAUAUAUCGGAACGUACCUUUCAGUGGGGGAUAACGUAGCGAAAGUUACGCUAAUACCGCAUAUUCUGUGAGCAGGAAAGCAGGGGAUCGCAAGACCUUGCGCUGAUUGAGCGGCCGAUAUCAGAUUAGCUAGUUGGUGAGGUAAAGGCUCACCAAGGCGACGAUCUGUAGCGGGUCUGAGAGGAUGAUCCGCCACACUGGAACUGAGACACGGUCCAGACUCCUACGGGAGGCAGCAGUGGGGAAUUUUGGACAAUGGGCGCAAGCCUGAUCCAGCCAUGCCGCGUGAGUGAAGAAGGCCUCGGUUGUAAG